rnacentral:rRNA from 1 species
GACAGAGGGGGCAAGCGUUGCUCGGAAUUACUGGGCGUAAAGCGCGUGUAGGCGGCCCUGCAAGUCGGGUGUGAAAUCCCACGGCUCAACCGUGGAAGUGCACUCGAAACUGCAGGGCUAGAGUCCUGGAGAGGAAGGUGGAAUGCUUGGUGUAGAGGUGAAAUUCGUAGAUAUCAAGCGGAACACCGGUGGCGAAGGCGGCCUUCUGGACAGUGACUGACGCUGAGACGCGAAAGCCAGGGGAGCAAACGGG